CCAACUAAACUAAACAAUUCUAGGUUCAUAGAGGCGGCGCAUCCUUCGAUUGGAUCAAAUUAUUUGAAGUAUUUGAAGGUAGCUAUAGUGAACGACUGCAGUAGAUUUUUUUGAGUUGAAUUGAAGAGCAUUCACAUCAUCCUGCCAGCAACAAGUUCGAAUUUGGACUCUCAAAUUUCAGUCUGCUGGUAUCCUUCAUCUCCAUUUGAGUUUAAAAGAUAUCCAUUAUCUCUCUUCGGGUGCAUGCUCUCUCGACUGAAGGGUUGUGCAGCCAUUGUUGGUCUUUGUCUCAUCUUUCUCAGCUACCGCUAUCCUUCACACCUUACCAUUUAAGUCCAAAAGAUAUCCAAUCUCUCUUCGUGUGCACGCUCUCUCCACUGAAGGGUUGUGUAGCCAUUGCUGAUCUUUGUCUCAUCUUUCUCAGCUGCUAUUCUUCACACCUCUCUAUUUGAGACCGUUAGCUAUCCAAUCUCUUUUCGUGUGCAUCUCGAGUGAAGGUUUGUGCAGCCAUUAACGUUCUUUGUCUCCUCUAUCUGAGAUGGAUUUAUUCCUGGGUACAACCAAUGGAUAACUCAUGGAGAACUUCCUAGUCGCCUUUCAUCUAGGGGGUGAAAAUCAACAUAAUAGUUUGGGCGAUGAUGAUAUGCACGGUUUAGUUCAUGAUGCAUUUGGAGUUCCAAAUGAAGAUGGAUCUACAAAAGAAUAUACAGGAUCUCCGAUGGAUGCAUAAAUUGCUAAUGGGCAAGCAAAAGAAUUUUAUAAGUUGAUUGAUAGUUUGCAAGAACUGUUGUAUGAAGGAUGUUCUAAAUUCUCAAAACUAUCAUUCAUAAUCCGUUUGUUGCACUUAAAGUGUAUUGGGAGCUUGAAUAAUAAAGUAUUCGAUAUG